UCGGGAAUUUUGCUCAAUGGGCGAAAGCCUGAAGCAGCAACGCCGCGUGAGGGAUGAAGGCCUUCGGGUUGUAAACCUCUUUUCUCAGGGACGAUAAUGACGGUACCUGAGGAAUAAGCCACGGCUAACUACGUGCCAGCAGCCGCGGUAAUACGUAGGUGGCGAGCGUUGUCCGGAUUUACUGGGCGUAAAGAGCGCGCAGGCGGUCGUGCAAGUCGAGUGUGAAAGCCCCCGGCUCAACUGGGGAGGGUCACUCGAUACUGCUCGACUCGAAGGCGGGAGAGGGAAGUGGAAUUCCCGGUGUAGUGGUGAAAUGCGUAGAUAUCGGGAGGAACACCAGUGGCGAAGGCGACUUCCUGGCCCGUUCUUGACGCUGAGGCGCGAAAGCUAGGGGAGCAAACG
rnacentral:rRNA from 1 species